UACGAGUGCCCCGAGCGUUAUCCGGAAUCAUUGGGCGUAAAGGGUGUGUAGGUGGCAGUGUUAGUCGCUUGUUAAAACCUCGGGCUCAACCCGAGAUGUGCGAGCGAAACGGCACAGCUAGAGGAUGCGAGAGAUGUAUGGAACUCAUGGAGUAGGGGUGAAAUCCGUUGAUAUCAGGAGGAAUACCGAUGGCGAAGGCAGGUCUCUGGACUGACACUGACGCUCAUGCACGAAAGCGUCGGGAGCAAACAGG
rnacentral:rRNA from 1 species